GAUUUCAAGUCACCAGUUGAUGCAGCCACUUCUGGGGCAAAAAUGAUGUGUCGGAUUUACCAGAGUUGAGUAACACUGUGAAAGUACAAGAGAGGGAAAUGUAGGAAAAAAUCUGUAGCUGACACAUUUUAGGAAGGUAAUACGUCAAAAUGGAGUCGUUAUCAGAGUUAAGACUGAGUUGUCUGAACACAGGAGUUUGAUCUGGAAUCUGAAGUGCAACACCAAGAACAGCUUAUCUGAGGGUAUAAGUCACGAGGGAGAAAGCCACCUCACUCAUCACCAGCACUGCCAUGCUCAGAGGAGGAGAGUGGAAAGGGGAAGAGAAAGGGAGGAAAAAAUGUACAAAAAGAGCUUCACAGAAGAAAUCUUGACCAUGAAGUCAGUCUUGUAUCUCUCCUCCAAAAGAAGGGAACUUGAAAUAAAGGCUUCAAGAUAGUGUGUACUUGCAAGCAAGAGUGUGAGGUUUCUAUGGAGUCCAAGAACAUCGGGGAGAGAUGUGGAGAAGCUCUGAAGUCCAGGAAUUUCCCACUUCCAUGUGGAAGGAAACAAACCAUGAAACUCCAUGAUUCCCCUAUUUUCUCUUCCUUUCCUGACAUUAACUUCCCAGACACAUUCAGCUGAUUCAUAAAGAUUCAAGAUUCAUAAAGGCUUUGCUUCAGUUUCUCAGGAACUCUGGCACAUGCUUGACUGUGACAAUUAAGAACGCACCCGUUGUUUCUAAU
rnacentral:lncRNA from 1 species